rfam:Myotis lucifugus cont2.29984, whole genome shotgun sequence.
GUGACACUUCUAUAAAGCAGGACUUGCUCCAGUGGGGCUUUGGUGCUCACUGAGUCUGCCCCUUGAGUGUGUCGCU